rnacentral:rRNA from 1 species
GACGAACGCUGGCGGCGUGCUUAACACAUGCAAGUCGAACGAUGAAGCCGGAGCUUGCUCUGGUGAAUUAGUGGCGAACGGGUGAGUAACACGUGAGUAACCUGCCCUUGACUCUGGGAUAACUGCUAGAAAUGGUAGCUAAUACCGGAUACGAUCCUCGGAGGCAUCUCCAGGGGGUGGAAAGAAUUUCGUUCAAGGAGGGACUCGCGGCCUAUCAGCUAGUUGGUGAGGUAGCGGCUCACCAAGGCGACGACGGGUAGCCGGCCUGAGAGGGUGACCGGCCAAACUGGGACUGAGACACGGCCCAGACUCCUACGGGAGGCAGCAGUGGGGAAUAUUGCACAAUGGGCGCAAGCCUGAUGCAGCAACGCCGCGUGAGGGAUGACGGCCUUCGGGUUGUAAACCUCUUUUAGUAGGGAAGAAGCGAAAGUGACGGUACCUGCAGAAAAAGCACCGGCUAACUACGUGCCAGCCGCCGCCGUAA